AUUGAACGCUGGCGGCAUGCCUUACACAUGCAAGCCGAACGGCAGCACGGGAGCAAUCCUGGUGGCGAGUGGCGAACGGGUGAGUAAUAUAUCGGAACGUGCCCAGUAGUGGGGGAUAACUGCUCGAAAGAGCAGCUAAUACCGCAUACGACCUGAGAGUGAAAGGGGGGGAUCGCAAGACCUCUCGCUAUUGGAGCGGCCGAUAUCAGAUUAGCUAGUUGGUGGGGUAAAGGCCUACCAAGGCAACGAUCUGUAGUUGGUCUGAGAGGACGACCAGCCACACUGGGACUGAGACACGGCCCAGACUCCUACGGGAGGCAGCAGUGGGGAAUUUUGGACAAUGGGCGCAAGCCUGAUCCAGCAAUGCCGCGUGCAGGAAGAAGGCCUUCGGGUUGUAAACUGCUUUUGUCAGGGAAGAAAUCCUCUAGGUUAAUACCCUUGGGGGGAUGACGGUACCUGAAGAAUAAGCACCGGCUAACUACGUGCCAGCCGCCGCCGUAAUAC
rnacentral:rRNA from 1 species